UUCCGGUUGAUCCUGCCGGACCCGACUGCUAUCAGAAUAGGACUAAGCCAUGCGAGUCAACAUAGCAAUAUGUGGCAUACGGCUCAGUAACACGUAGUCAACAUGCCCAGGGGACGUGGAUAACCUCGGGAAACUGAGGAUAAACCGCGAUAGGUCAUCACUUCUGGAAUGGGUAAUGACUUAAAUCUAUAUGGCCCCUGGAUUGGACUGCGGCCGGUCAGGCUGUUGGUGAGGUAAUGGCCCACCAAACCUGUAACCGGUACGGGCUCUGAGAGGAGGAGCCCGGAGAUGGGCACUGAGACAAGGGCCCAGGCCCUAUGGGGCGCAGCAGGCGCGAAACCUCUGCAAUAGGCGAAAGCUUGACAGGGUUACUCUGAGUGAUUUCCGUUAAGGAGAUCUUUUGGCACCUCUAAAAAUGGUGCAGAAUAAGGGGUGGGCAAGUCUGGUGUCAGCCGCCGCGGUAAUACCAGCACCCCGAGUGGUCGGGACGAUUAUUGGGCCUAAAGCAUCCGUAGCCGGUACUGCAAGUCUUCCGUUAAAUCCACCUGCUCAACAGUUGGGCUGCGGGGGAUACUACAGCGCUAGGAGGCGGGAGAGGCAAGCGGUACUCAAUGGGUAGGGGUAAAAUCCGCUGAUCCAUUGAAGACCACCAGUGGCGAAGGCGGCUUGCCAGAACGCGCUCGACGGUGAGGGAUGAAAGCUGGGGGAGCAAACCGGAUUAGAUACCCGGGUAGUCCCAGCUGUAAACGAUGCAGACUCGG
rnacentral:rRNA from 1 species